rnacentral:rRNA from 1 species
UCCUUGAGAGUCCUGAAGGAACGUUGAAGACGACGACGUUGAUAGGCCGGGUGUGUAAGCGCAGCGAUGCGUUGAGCUAACCGGUACUAAUGAACCGUGAGGCUUAACCUUACAACGCCGAAGMUGUU